UACGUAGGGUGCGAGCGUUAAUCGGAAUUACUGGGCGUAAAGCGUGCGCAGGCGGUUCGUCGUGUCCGAUGUGAAAGCCCCGGGCUCAACCUGGGAAUGGCAUUGGAAACUGGCGGGCUUGAGUGUGGCAGAGGGGGGUGGAAUUCCGCGUGUAGCAGUGAAAUGCGUAGAGAUGCGGAGGAACACCGAUGGCGAAGGCAGCCCCCUGGGCUGACACUGACGCUCAGGCACGAAAGCGUGGGGAGCGAACAGG
rnacentral:rRNA from 1 species